GGCCGAAGCCCAAAUUCCCCUCCGUCUCGCCUGACCCAUGCCCCGUGCCCCGGAACCCUAGCCGCCACUCCGCCUCGCCAUGCCACCGCGGUCGUCCCUCCAGUCGCUCCUCCGUUUGGCGGCCUGCACCUCCGCGAGCUCCGGGGGCUCGGGCCUCCUCCUCGCCGCGCGCCGCCGCUUCCCCGUCGCCUUCGCCGCUGCGUGGGGCCAGCGCCUCCGCCUCCUGCACUCCUUCUCGUCCCAGUCUCUCGGACCAGCGACCGAGGCGACGCCGCCGCGGGGGGCCAGCGCAUCCGGCUCCUCCACUCCUCGUCUCGACCGAGGCGACGCCGGCGCCAAACGUCCUGCAGGAGGUCGCACAGAGCAGGACCACCUCGCUGCCUCCAGGUCCGGAGGGGGCCGCAGAAGGUGACUUCGACCACCCCAAAGAGAGUCCAUCGUGGUGCCAGGCGGGGCAAGGAGGCAGCACAGAUCAUCUGCUAGUCGUGGGCAUCAAGUGAAUCCAAAGCACGCCCUGACUCUUGCUGUUGUGAUCUAUCUCCUUCGAUUGGUUUCCUCUAAGCGGCACUGCACAGAAGGUGUUUGACAAAAUGACCAAGCAAGGGGAACAUGACUUAAGGAAUUUCUGUAAGAUGGAUGCAGCAAACGUGAGCAAUUACAAGCGAUGCAUUACAGAUUUUACUAUUUCUGCGUGUGACCAAAGGUCCAACCAUGAUGAGCUAUGGUUCAUGAAUAUCAGGGGUAGCGCCUUUCUGUGGCAUCAAGUUUGUUGCAUGGUAGCUGUUCUUUUUCUUGUAGGUCAAGGCCUUGAAUCACCUAGUGUAGUUGAUUCAUUGCUGGAUAUUACCAGGACACCUAGAAAACCUCAAUAUACAAUGGCACCAGAGCUUCCAUUGAUUCUACGAUCUUGUCUAUUCGAUAGAGUUAGCUUCAUGUGUUCAUCAGGUACAUACAUUUAGACCUUUGUGGCAUCCAGUGCUAUAAGUGACACUCUCAAAUUCAUUCCAAAGUACUCCAGACUCCAAAGCAUGUCCCUUUCAUCCAUUCAGAAAUCUUGGAUUCAUAAAUGGGAGAAGCACAUAAGGGAGAAGAAGAUGAUUGCAAGGAUGGAGAGGGAGCACAUCAUUUGGAGGGAUAGAAUGCCACUGUUUGAUGUUUUUAUGCAUUUUUGUUUGCUUUCGACUGUGUUUGCACUAGCUCCAAGUUUACUAUAAAUCUUCAAUUUGUAAUGAUAUGUAAUGCUGC